GCUUAAUUAGUGUGAAAUUUCCAUAAAUUGUAGGUAUAAACACAUUCCUUAAUGAGUUUUGAUCAUUCUUUGAUCCUUUGGAAUAAGGAGAAUCAACACAGCAGGUCUUUACCAAGUCGUUUCUCCAGAUGCACCUAUCUAGUAUGUUUCUGUUCGCAGGUUCUCUACUUAGGACAAUAACCUGGUGCAAAUCAUGGAUGCAUGGAUUCUCCUCAGUCCUCACAAGGGUCACCUUUACUUUCUGUGUCCGUCAAACUUGACACAUCUGAGCUUUAGAAGAAACGAUGCAGUUCUUCGCGUGGAGUUAGUAGCUUCGGUUGCUGUAAUUAACUUGAUCAAGAUGGAAUUGGACAGAGUCAGAGUGUCAUGAGACCCAUAGAAGACUUGUUCAUCUCCAAGUGUCUAAAACGACUACCAUGUUUGUGGAGACUCUAUUAAGUGGAAAUUACUUCAGUUUCUUAAUGCACAUGCAAAACAUUUCUGCAAGAGCAUCAAUUUGCGAAUUGUGCUAAGAUCGUUGCUUCUCAAUUAAGAGGCACAGUGGAUAGGAUUUUGAUUGAAUCAACAGAUGCUGUGAUAAAGAACGCUAUCACCACAACCUGCAGUAGCUAUGAGAGCCCUCAACGUGGUCCACCCUUGCCAUGAGCUAUAUGCUUUGAAGUUCAAAUGAUUAACACUGAUGAGGAGUGCUUGCAUCAAAAGGGGUUUUGGUGGAUGAGAUUCAUCGCCUAAUUGAGUUAUGAUGAGACCCCAAAACUACUGUUGAGUAUGUUCCUAGUAAAGCUAAUGGAGCUGCUCACUGGAUUGCUCAGUUUUGUCUUCGUGAAUCAGCCCAUCAUUUUGGAUGGAUGAGUGCCAUCCUUGACUACUCAUGGAUUGCAUUCAAGAUGAUUGUCCUUCUCUGCAUUCCUUUCCUUGAUUCUAUUGUAAUUUCU